rnacentral:lncRNA from 1 species
GGGGAAGCUUCGAAAUUCUGACUAAACCUGCAACUCUUCGUUUUUCGCAAUCCUGACGUCCAAAUUCUUCUAACGAAUUACCCCGAGCUUUCGUAGGACCUCCUAAAGCUCACUAUGAGCUUAGAAUUCCUUGAAAACAACAUAUUUACGUGUGCAUGAACAAUGCACAAAUCGAGGGUUACGUUUCACGGGGUUUUCGAAGGUUUCAGGUUCUAAAACUUGUACCAAUGGAUUCCUGAGGUCACAAGGAACACAAA